AUCGCUUCUCCGCCUUUUGGCUAAGAUCAAGUGUAGUAUCAAAGUGACAGUCAAGGUGCACUAGAUUAUGAAUUCCUUAAGGAUAAGAAAAGUAUCUUAUUUAGUUUGGCACCAACUUCCAGUUUAAUUGAAUAUAUGCAUUUCUUCACACCUGCUUGAAAAUAUUCUCUUUUA
rnacentral:snRNA from 1 species